rnacentral:rRNA from 1 species
AUCCUGGCUCAGAUUGAACGCUGGCGGCAGGCCUAACACAUGCAAGUCGAGCGGUAGAGAGAAGCUUGCUUCUCUUGAGAGCGGCGGACGGGUGAGUAAUACCUAGGAAUCUGCCUGGUAGUGGGGGAUAACGUUCGGAAACGGACGCUAAUACCGCAUACGUCCUACGGGAGAAAGCAGGGGACCUUCGGGCCUUGCGCUAUCAGAUGAGCCUAGGUCGGAUUAGCUAGUUGGUGAGGUAAUGGCUCACCAAGGCUACGAUCCGUAACUGGUCUGAGAGGAUGAUCAGUCACACUGGAACUGAGACACGGUCCAGACUCCUACGGGAGGCAGCAGUGGGGAAUAUUGGACAAUGGGCGAAAGCCUGAUCCAGCCAUGCCGCGUGUGUGAAGAAGGUCUUCGGAUUGUAAAGCACUUUAAGUUGGGAGGAAGGGCAGUAAAUUAAUACUUUGCUGUUUUGACG